rnacentral:rRNA from 1 species
CCUACGGGAUGCAGCAGUGGGGAAUAUUGCACAAUGGGCGAAAGCCUGACGCAGCGACGCCGCGUGAGUGAUGAAGGUCUUCGGAUCGUAAACCACUGUCAGCAGGGAAGAACGGUCACUGUGCUAAUCAGCAGUGAAUUGACGGUACCUGCAAAGUAAGCACCGGCUAACUCCGUGCCAGCAGCCGCGGUAAUACGGAGGGUGCGAGCGUUAAUCGGAAUUACUGGGCGUAAAGCGCUCGUAGGCGGUAUGUCAAGUCAAGGGUGAAAUCCCCGCGCUCAACGUGGGAACUGCCUUUGAAACUGGCAAACUUGAGUGUGUGAGAGGAUAGUGGAAGUCCAGGUGUAGGAGUGAAAUCCGUAGAGAUCUGGAGGAAAAUCAGUGGCGAAGGCGACUAUCUGGCACAUAACUGACGCUGAGGAGCGAAAGCGUGGGUAGCAAACAGGAUGAGAUACCCUGGUAGUC